rnacentral:rRNA from 1 species
GAUAGAGGCCUACUAUGGUGGUGACGGGUGAUGGAGAAUUAGGGUUCGAUUCCGGAGAGGGAGCCUGAGAAACGGCUACCACAUCCAAGGAUGGCAGCAGGCGCGCAAAUUACCCAAUCCCGACACGGGGAGGUAGUGACAAUAAAUAACAAUACGGGGUUCUUUAGGAUCUCGUAAUUGGAAUGAGUACAAUUUAAAUCUCUUAACGAGGAACAAUUGGAGGGCAAGUCUGGUGCCAGCAGCCGCGGUAAUUCCAGCUCCAAUAGCGUAUAUUAAAGUUGCUGCAGUUAAAAAGCUCGUAGUUGAAUUUCGGGACCAAUAUGUCGGUCGUGCCUCGGUACGUACUGGCAUCGUUGGUUUCUCCCUUCUGACGAACCAUGAUGUCAUUCAUUUGGUGUCGUGGGGAAUCAGGACUGUUACUUUGAAAAAAUUAGAGUGUUUAAAGCAGGCUCACGCUUGAAUACAUUAGCAUGGAAUAAUGAAAUAGGACGUUUGAUUCUAUUUUGUUGGUUUCUAGGAUCGACGUAAUGAUUAAUAGGGAUAGUUGGGGGCAUUAGUAUUCAAUUGUCAGAGGUGAAAUUCUUGGAUUUAUUGAAGACUAACUACUGCGAAAGCAUUUGCCAAGGAUGUUUUCAUUAAUCAAGAACGAAAGUUAGGGGAUCGAAGACGAUCAGAUACCGUCGUAGUCUUAACCAUAAACUAUGCCGACUAGGGAUCGGAUGAUGUUAAUUUUUUAAUGACUCAUUCGGUGCCUUACGGGAAACCAAAGUGUUUUGGGUUCA